CCUACGGGUGGCAGCAGUGAGGAAUAUUGGUCAAUGGGCGCGAGCCUGAACCAGCCAAGUAGCGUGAAGGAUGACUGCCCUACGGGUUGUAAACUUCUUUUAUAAAGGAAUAAAGUGAGGCACGUGUGCCUUUUUGUAUGUACUUUAUGAAUAAGGCUUGGCUAACCUCGGGCCCGCCGCCCCGGUAAUAAGGUGGGUCCGAGCGUUUUUCGGGUUUAUUGGGUUUAAAGGGAGCGUAGGUGGGGUGUUAAGUCAGUUGUGAAAGUUUGCGGCUCAACCGUAAAAUUGCAAUUGAUACUGGCAGUCUUGAGUACAGUUGAGGUAGGCGGAAUUCGUGGUGUAGCGGUGAAAUGCUUAGAUAUCACGAAGAACUCCGAUUGCGAAGGCAGCUUACUAAACUGCCACUGACAUUGAUGCUCGAAAGUGUGGGUAUCAAACAGGAUUAGAUACCCCAGUAGUC
rnacentral:rRNA from 1 species